UACGUGCCAGCAGCCGCGGUAAUACGGAAGGUCCGGGCGUUAUCCGGAAUUAUUGGGUUUAAAGGGAGCGCAGGCGGGAGUAUAAGUCAGCUGUUAAAUAUCAGAGCCCAACUCUGUUAUGCAGUUGAAACUAUAUUUCUUGAGUACGCACAGGGAUGGUGGAAUUCAGGGUGUAGCGGCGAAAUGCUUAGAUAUCCUGAAGAACUCCGAUCGCGAAGGCAGCCAUCCGGAGCGUAACUGACGCUGAGGCUCGAAGGUGCGGGUAUCGAACAGGAUUAGAUACCCUGGUAGUCCGCACGGUAAACGAUGAAUACUCGCAGUUCGGCCGUUUAGGUCGAGUUGUCCAGCGAAAGCGUUAAGUAUUCCACCUGGGGAGUACGCCGGCAACGGUGAAACUCAAAGGAAUUGACGGGGGCCCGCACAAGCGGAGGAACAUGUGGUUUAAUUCGAUGAUACGCGAGGAACCUUACCCGGGCUUGAA
rnacentral:rRNA from 1 species